GACAGAGGGUGCAAACGUUGUUCGGAAUUACUGGGCGUAAAGCGCAUGUAGGCGGCCAAGCAGGUCGGAUGUGAAAUCCCUCGGCUCAACCAAGGAAGUGCAUUCGAAACCGCAUGGCUGGAGUCCCGGAGAGGGUAGUGGAAUUCUCGGUGUAGAGGUGAAAUUCGUAGAUAUCGAGAGGAACACCGGUGGCGAAGGCGACUCACUGGACACGUAUUGACGCUGAGGUGCGAAAGCGUGGGGAGCAAACAGG
rnacentral:rRNA from 1 species